AUGGAAGCAGAAGCCCAUACACAUGUGGAACGUUGGACACCGCCAGUGCCCGGCCGCGGAAAACUCAACGUCGAUGGGUCCUUUUUGCUCAUGGAUGGUACCGCUGGUGCAGGGAUGCUUCUCGGUGAUCACACUGGGGUUGUGAUGCUUGCUGCAAUCAGAGGUUUUGGGAACUGCAUGGACGCACUGGAAGCCGAGUUGGCAGCAAUUCAUGAAGGUAUUAUUUUGGCCCUCAAUUGGACUAAACUGGACAUUGUGGUGGAGACCGAUUGUGUCGAAGCUCUACAAUCAAUCUCAGCAUCGGGGCAAGAUCGAUCAGCACAUACUCAUAGAGUAAUGGAGAUCAGAUCGCUACUAGCUCAAGAAAGGAGGAUUCAUAUAAUCAAGAUCAGGCGUAAUGUAAAGAUAGCUAGUCAUACUCUUGCUCAAAUGGGAUGA
rnacentral:rRNA from 1 species